AGGGUGUGCAGAGGGCGGUUGGCAGGGACAUGGGCAACAGCUUCUGUUCCUCUCUUGGAAGGUGCCUGCUUGGUCCCAGAAAAGGUAAUCGAGAAAGCAGUGGCAUUUCAUGGUGCAGAGGAGUCAACCCUCAGCGAGAGGUGGCUGUGGAAGGGACCACGCUGCUCUGCCAAGUGCCUGAACACAGCGCCAAGUGCCGUGAUUGAUAAAGAGAGGCCACCUGGCUACCGUGCUCUCCAGCAGGUCCCUUCCUGCUUCUCUCUUCCCAUACACCACAGAAAAAGUCAUUCUGGUCUUCUGGCGAGCCUGUGCCAGCCUUUCUAAAUAAUACUGUGAUGACACGGGCUUCCUCUGGGCUGAAGCAAGGACUUCUGCUUGAAGGCAAGAGGCUCUGGAGGAAACUACACUUGCACUGAACUCGAGCACUGUGAUUCUGCCAGGAUCAUGCUUAUGAAAUCAGCUUGAAGACUAAGGGAGAGAUGGUAGCAAGAGACUGUCAAAUCUCAGCUACUGAACUGUCUGUACGCUCACACUGGUGUGGAGCAAAUGGAAGAUACCUUUCUAAUACCAGGUGUCAGCAGAGAAGGCUGGUGGAUAAAAGGACUAGGAGGCGACGUCUUCAGGGAGCAGGACCUGGGCUGUGCUGCGGCGACUUUUCCGCACAUCUGGGAGUCCAGACGAGUCGGCCCUCAGUGACUCUGCUACAUUCACCACUGCUGGAUAAACGUAAAGCUCUUAAGGUCUGCAUUGCUGUUGCUAAUGAUACUACUGGGGGAUGGGCCCUUUGAGUGAAAUGCCGAUUUAUGUUUCACUGUAGGAUUUGCUUACAUAACUAGUGAACCUGUAUCAACUGUAGCCUUUGCAGCCUGAGUUCACCACUUGGGUUUUGUAGCUUCUCUUGGGGUUGAAUAGCUAAGCUGCAAGUUCCAUGAGCAAAGUACUUGCACUUGCUUGCAAAGAGUAAGCAGGCCUCUGAUAAGAGACCUGAUAUUAAAAUGGUUUGCUUUAUUGGCAGAAGUGGCUUUCACUGUUUCCAC
rnacentral:lncRNA from 1 species